AGAGUUUGAUCAUGGCUCAGGAUGAACGCUAGCGGCAGGCUUAACACAUGCAAGUCGAGGGGUAUAGUUCUUCGGAAUUAGAGACCGGCGCACGGGUGCGUAACGCGUAUGCAAUCUACCUUUCACAGAGGGAUAGCCCAGAGAAAUUUGGAUUAAUACCUCAUAGUAUAGUACCUUGGCAUCAAGGAAUUAUUAAAGUCACAACGGUGAAAGAUGAGCAUGCGUCCCAUUAGCUAGUUGGUAAGGUAACGGCUUACCAAGGCGACGAUGGGUAGGGGUCCUGAGAGGGAGAUCCCCCACACUGGUACUGAGACACGGACCAGACUCCUACGGGAGGCAGCAGUGAGGAAUAUUGGACAAUGGGCGCAAGCCUGAUCCAGCCAUGCCGCGUGCAGGAUGACGGUCCUAUGGAUUGUAAACUGCUUUUAUACGAGAAGAAACACCUCUACGAGUAGAGACUUGACGGUAUCGUAAGAAUAAGGAUCGGCUAACUCCGCGCCAGCAGCCGCGGUAAUACGGAGGAUCCAAGCGUUAUCCGGAAUCAUUGGGUUUAAAGGGUCCGUAGGCGGUCAGAUAAGUCAGUGGUGAAAGCCCAUCGCUCAACGGUGGAACGGCCAUUCAUACUGUCUGACUUGAAUUAUUAGGAAGUAACUAGAAUAUGUAGUGUAGCGGUGAAAUGCUUAGAGAUUACAUGGAAUACCAAUUGCGAAGGCAGGUUACUACUAAUGGAUUGACGCUGAUGGACGAAAGCGUGGGUAGCGAACAGGAUU
rnacentral:rRNA from 1 species